rnacentral:rRNA from 1 species
CCUACGGGUGGCAGCAGUGAGGAAUAUUGGUCAAUGGGCGGGAGCCUGAACCAGCCAAGUCGCGUGAGGGAAGACGGUCCUACGGAUUGUAAACCUCUUUUGCCGGGGAGCAACGGGGUCCUUGCGAGGGCCCGAUGAGAGUACCCGGAGAAAAAGCAUCGGCUAACUACGUGCCAGCAGCCGCGGUCAUACGUAGGAUCCGAGCAUUAUCCGGAGUGACUGGGUGUAAAGAGUUGCGUAGGUGGCAUAAUAAGUAGCUAGUGAAAUCUGGUGGCUCAACCAUUCAGACUAUUAGCUAAACUGUUAAGCUCGAGACCGUUAGGGGUAACUGGAAUUUCUAGUGUAGGAGUGAAAUCCGUAGAUAUUAGAAGGAACACCAAUAGCGUAGGCAGGUUGCUGGGACGGUUCUGACACUAAGGCACGAAAGCGUAGGGAGCAAACGGGAUUAGAUACCCCUGUAGUC